rnacentral:tRNA from 1 species
GGGGAUUUAGCUCAGUGGUAGAGCACUUGCCUAGCAAGUGUGAGGCCCUGGGUUCAGUCCCCAGCUCCG